rnacentral:rRNA from 1 species
ACAGGUGAGAAGUAAAAGUCGUAACAAGGUUUCCGUAGGUGAACCUGCGGAAGGAUCAUUAAUGAAAUUACAAUCCGGCGAGGGAAAGGCGGAGAGUUGUAGCUGGCCCCUCCGGGCAUGUGCACGCUCUCUUCCGGACUUUCGCCGUAUGGGCGCGGGGCGACCCGCGUCUUCAUAUACCUCUUCGUGUAGAAAGUCUUUGAAUGUCGUAACCAUCAUCGAGUCGCGACUUCUAGGAGACGCGAUUCUUUGAGACAAAAGUUAUUACAACUUUCAGCAACGGAUUUCUUGGCUCUCGCAUCAAUGAAGAACGCAGCGAAUCGCGAUAUGUAAUGUGAAUUGCAGAUCUACAGUGAAUCAUCGAAUCUUUGAACGCACCUUGCGCUCCUCGGUGUUCCGAGGAGCAUGCCUGUUUGAGUGUCAGUAAAUUCUCAACCCCUCUCGAUUUGCUUCGAGAGGGCGCUUGGAUGGUGGAGGCUGCCAGAGACCUGGAUUCGUUCAGGACUCGGGCUCCUCUGUAAUGAAUCGGCUUGCGGUCGACCUUCGACUUUGCAUGACAAGGCCUUUGGCGUGAUAAUGAUCGCCGUUCGCCGAAGUGCACGACAGAAAACGGUCCCGCGCCUCUAAUGCGUCGACGCCUUCCGGGCGUCUUCCUCAUUGACGUUUGACCUCAAAUCAGGUAGGACUACCCGCUGAACUUAAGCAUAUCAAUAAGCGGAGGAAAAGAAACUAACAAGGAUUCCCCUAGUAACUGCGAGUGAACCGGGAAAAGCUCAAAUUUUGAAUCUGGCGGUCUUUCGGCCGUCCGAGUGUAAUCUAGAGAGCGUCCCCCGAA